rnacentral:rRNA from 2 species
CAGCCGCCGCGGUAAAACCAGCACCUCAAGUGGUCCGGAUGAUUAUUGGGCCUAAAGCAUCCGUAGCCGGCUCUGUAAGUUUUCGGUUAAAUCUGUACGCUCAACGUACAGGCUGCCGGGAAUACUGCAGAGCUAGGGAGUGGGAGAGGUAGACGGUACUCGGUAGGAAGGGGUAAAAUCCUUUGAUCUAUUGAUGACCACCUGUGGCGAAGGCGGUCUACCAGAACACGUCCGACGGUGAGGGAUGAAAGCUGGGGGAGCAAACCGGAUUAGAUACCCGGGUAGUCCCAGCUGUAAACUGUGCAAACUCAGUGAUGCAUUGGCUUGUGGCCAAUGCAGUGCUGCAGGGAAGCCGUUAAGUUUGCCGCCUGGGAAGUACGUACUCAAGUAUGAAACUUAAAGGAAUUGGCGGGGGAGCAC